rnacentral:rRNA from 1 species
GCAUCUGUGCAUGCAGCAUAUCAAUAAGCGGAGGAAAAGAAACUAACAAGGAUUCCCCUAGUAACGGCGAGUGAAGCGGGAAGAGCUCAAAUUUGAAAUCUUAAAGGGUUUCCCUUUACGAAUUGUAGUUUAAAGAAGUGUUUUCUGUUGAGGUUUUGGUAAAAGUUCUUUGGAAUAGGACAUCAUAGAGGGUGAGAAUCCCGUAUUUGACCUUUACUUUCAACUUUGUGAUACACUUUCAAAGAGUCGGAUUGUUUGGGAAUGCAGUCCAAAAUGGGUGGUAAAUUUCAUCUAAAGCUAAAUAUUGGCGAGAGACCGAUAGCGAACAAGUACCGUGAGGGAAAGAUGAAAAGAACUUUGAAAAGAGAGUUAAACAGUACGUGAAAUUGUCAAAAGGGAAGCGUUUGACACCAGUGUUGUUUUUCUGAAAAUCAAUUAAAGAACUGUUUAUGCUAAGUUGUUUAGACUUUAUCAGCUAAUCUGUUUAGUUUUGAGCUUUUCUUUAAUGCACUUUUCAGUUAACAAGUCAACAUCAAUUUCUUUUGCUGUAAAAAAGCUUGAGGAAGGUGGCUUGAGAUUCGUCUUAAGUGUUUAUAGCCUCUUGCCUAUGCAGUCGGAGAGAUUGAGGUCUGCAGCGUAGAUCCUUCGGGGCUAAAUGCAUUUGUGCUAAGUUAUAGCAUUUUAUAGACAACUUGUUGACUAUGAUUUGUCUUGUAGCUUACUCGCUUAUGUUAUUUUACCUACGCUUAGGAUGUUGACAGCAGUAUAGACUGU